rnacentral:rRNA from 1 species
GACGAACGCUGGCGGCGUGCUUAACACAUGCAAGUCGAACGCUGAACCCGCUUCGGUGGGGGAUGAGUGGCGAACGGGUGAGUAACACGUGGGCAACCUGCCCCCGGCUCUGGGAUAACUCCAAGAAAUUGGGGCUAAUACCGGAUGUGACCGCUGGCCGCAUGGUCUGGUGGUGGAAAGGGUUUCCGGCUGGGGAUGGGCCCGCGGCCUAUCAGCUUGUUGGUGGGGUAGUGGCCUACCAAGGCGACGACGGGUAGCCGGCCUGAGAGGGUGACCGGCCACGCUGGGACUGAGACACGGCCCGGACUCCUACGGGAGGCAGCAGUGGGGAAUAGUGCGCAAGGGGCGGAAGCCUGACGCAGCGACGCCGCGUGGGAGAUGACGGCCUUCGGGUUGUAAACCUCUGUCAGCAGGGACGAAGCGCAAGUGACGGUACCUGCAGAAGAAGCACCGGCCAACUACGUG